AAGGCCUAACACAUGCAAGUCGAACGGCAGCACGGACUUCGGUCUGGUGGCGAGUGGCGAACGGGUGAGUAAUGUAUCGGAACGUGCCCAGUAGCGGGGGAUAACUACGCGAAAGCGUAGCUAAUACCGCAUACGCCCUACGGGGGAAAGCAGGGGAUCGCAAGACCUUGCACUAUUGGAGCGGCCGAUAUCGGAUUAGCUAGUUGGUGGGGUAACGGCUCACCAAGGCGACGAUCCGUAGCUGGUUUGAGAGGACGACCAGCCACACUGGGACUGAGACACGGCCCAGACUCCUACGGGAGGCAGCAGUGGGGAAUUUUGGACAAUGGGGGAAACCCUGAUCCAGCCAUCCCGCGUGUGCGAUGAGGGCCUUCGGGUUGUAAAGCACUUUUGGCAGGAAAGAAACGCCAUGGGUUAAUACCCCGUGAAACUGACGGUACCUGCAGAAUAAGCACCGGCUAACUACGUGCCAGCAGCCGCGGUAAUACGUAGGGUGCAAGCGUUAAUCGGAAUUACUGGGCGUAAAGCGUGCGCAGGCGGUUCGGAAAGAAAGAUGUGAAAUCCCAGAGCUUAACUUUGGAACUGCAUUUUUAACUACCGGGCUAGAGUGUGUCAGAGGGAGGUGGAAUUCCGCGUGUAGCAGUGAAAUGCGUAGAUAU
rnacentral:rRNA from 1 species